rnacentral:lncRNA from 1 species
GGAACUGAACCUUCUAGAGCUGUGUUAGGUUUUGUGAUGCUCAACUACUGCUCAUGAGUGGCUGGUCAUCCAGAAAUAGGUUCUUUAUUCAUUCCUGUACACGGUCAACUUUUAAUGAUGUGCACAGCAGAUCACAUCCCUCACCGAUGGACUUGCUGCCGCCGACAGUAUUUGGUUCAACACACCUUGACCCACUCACAGCUUUCUCCUGCAACUCUAAAAUAAUUUGGGAAGAGAGUCCUUUUCCUUUUUGUUUCUUAUUUUUGUCAUUUUAAGGAAGAUAAGAUAAUAAACUUAUCACACAGCUUCUAAAAUUGAAAAGAUUAAGGAGUUAUAUUUAAAGACUGAGGGUUAAGAUAAUGCUAUGUUUUUAACUUGGAAUUUAAUUAGGCUUAUAUUUAUUUUAUUUUAUAAAACCACAUAAAAUCUA